GUAGGGAAUAUUGGACAAUGGGCGCAAGCCUGAUCCAGCCAUGCCGCGUGAAGGAAGAAGGCCCUCUGGGUUGUAAACUUCUUUUAACUGGGAAUAAACCUCCGGUAUAUCCGGAGCUGAAGGUACCAGAAGAAUAAGCACCGGCUAACUCCGUGCCAGCAGCCGCGGUAAUACGGAGGGUGCAAGCGUUGUCCGGAUUCAUUGGGUUUAAAGGGUGCGUAGGCGGACAAAUAAGUCAGUGGUGAAAUUCCGGGGCUCAACUUCGGAUGUGCCAUUGAUACUGUUAGUCUUGAGUACAGUCGAGGUAGCUGGAAUGUGUAGUGUAGCGGUGAAAUGCACAGAUAUUACACAGAACGCCGAUUGCGAAGGCAAGUUACUAGGCUGGCACAGACGCUGAGGCACGAAAGUGUGGGGAGCAAACAGGAUUAGAUACCCUUGUAGUCC
rnacentral:rRNA from 1 species